AACGAACGCUGGCGGCAUGCCUAACACAUGCAAGUCGAACGAGACCGCCGGGUCUAGUUGCGCUCGGGGGCGUAACGCGUGGGAAGCUGCCCUUAGGUACCGAAUAACUCCCCUAAGGGGGUGCUAAUACCGGAUAAUGUCUUCGGACAAAAGAUUUAUCGAGCUUGGAUGGGCGCGCGUUGGAUUCGCUGGUUGGUAGUGUAAUAGCCUACCAAGGCGUCGAUCCAUAGCUGGUCUGAGAGGAUGCGCAGCCACACUGGGGCUGAGACACGGACGAGAAUCGUAGGCAAGGGAGGAGAGGGGAAUAUUGGAGGAGGGAGGAAGGCAUGAUGCCGCAACGUCGGGUAAGAGAUGAUGGGGGUAGGGUAGUACAGCUGUUUUAGACGGGGUGAUAAUGACGGUACCGGGAGAAUAAGCACCGGCUAACUACGUG
rnacentral:rRNA from 1 species